CCGCGUCCUCGCCCCGCACGCGGCGAUUCCGCGUCCCCGUCCCUCCCCUCACCCGCCGCGUCCACCCCGCGGCGGACACCCUUCCCACUAUAAGCCGCCCCGCUUCCGCCCCGCCAUCGCCCCGCUCGCGGCGACCGCCGCGUCCACCUUAUAGUGGACGCUCUUAGAUUCCAACGCCAACGUCAAUUUCUGCUGCGAAAACCUUGGAUUUCUACUUUAGCAGCUUCUGUUUUUCUCGGAUUCCUCGCCGCGAGUUAUAGCUACGGCCGAGGUUUCUGGCAAUCAACGUGGCUGUUGUGGUGACGAAUCUAUACGGCUACGCCAAAUAGAAUUCCGGCCCGCUGGAAUCCACCGCCGGGAAGGUCGAGAACGCCGUCAUAGCCGUUGUUGGCCCCGUUUUCGAGAGAUUCGAAGACUUUCCUGGUGAUAUCCUCGUUUGUCUCGACAUUUUGGUUACAUCUUUGCACUGUAUGAGUGAUUGAUUCAGUUUUUGCUACGAUUCAAAUUAAAUUUUUUUAGCUAGGGUUUUUGAAUUUGGGACUUUCGUAGUAGAUAAAUUAGCCUUUAAUUAGUAGUCACCAGUGUAUUUGUAUUAUUGGGGAAAUUAUUCUGUUGUGAGAGUUCAUAUCUCAAAAUCAGUUGCCCUAUUUCAGUUGAGCUAAUUUAGGUGUAUGAUGCUUUCUAAUCUAAAUGUUGUUUGUGCCAAUAAGAAGACGGGCUCGAUCAGCUCUAGUGACUCGGACAAGGGGGAAUAGGUUGAGGGUUCUUGGUGAUGAGUAGCAAGUGUGCGUGUGAUAUGUAUUUGCCUGUAAAUAACCCAUUUAAUUGUUAGUUUAACUGUGAUCUGUGUUUCUUGUACAUUUGACUGAUGCUAAUGCAAAAUUCCUCCUUUUGAAUA